UAUAAGCGAUAAUCCACGAUCAACCUUACCACCCCUUGCCAUUCAGCCUAUAUACCGCCGUCUCCAGCUUACCUUGUGAAAGCCUAAAAGUAAGCAAAAUAGCUCUUACAGCUAGAAAGUCAGGUCCAGGUGUAGCCGAUGGGGUGGAUGCAAUGGGCUACAUUUUCUAAAAUAGAAAUAUUCACGGACAGACCAUUGAAAUAUGGACUGACAAGUCGGAUUUAGCAGUAAUCUAGGAGUAGAAAACCUACAUUAAGCCGGCCCUGGGACAAG
rnacentral:rRNA from 1 species